CUGCUGUGUGCCAAGCUCUCUUCUAGGUCUUGACGAGCAGGGUAAAAAUGAAUGGCAAACUCCUGACGCCAUAGGCCCUUCUAGGACAGAAGGUGGAAAUCCGGGCCCCCCUGGGCUGGUUCUGGCCGUGCCCAGUGCUGAGUGAAGCAGCGGACACUGCAAGGAGCUGGACAGAGCCGCGGGGUGGCCGCUGUGCGGCGGGACGUCGGGAGGUCUCCGAGGAGGUAGUCCUGGGGGCAAUGGGAAUGGCAGACUCGAACAACCGCCGGGAGUGCUUGGGGGACGCAGAGCUGUCGGGAGCAGAUCCUGGAUGGGGUAGAACUGUUGAUGCCCAGGAAGAUGAAUCCUGGAAAGGAGGGAACACCAGCAAUUAUACAAAAUGGAAAAAAAAAAGCGACAUUUUCAAGGGAUGGAAAUUCAGCAAUCCGUAUGGCCAGGGCUCCCUUGGAAGCAGCGCGUUUCGGCUCGGCCCCGGGCGAUGCAUCCCAGCCCCGGGAGCUCUCGCACCCGUCCCACUGCCACCUAAUGACGGUCUCAGCAGGAGGUACCAGCCCUGGAGCAGAGCUAAGCCAGGCAGCACACACGUGGGUCCUGGCCCCUCCUCUGCAAACAGCUGACAGAAGACAGACUUCCUGUGUCCCAGUGUGGGAGAAAUACAGGGCACACCGCGGCCUUUGGAGGCACUUGCGCGCAUAGGAGCUGCUUCGCAGAAUCAGAGAGCUGGAGGCAGCACAGCGGAGGGAAUGUCUCAACUACCUCCCACACUUUGCAGCCUGGUCUAGAGAAUAAAGCGGUUGGCCCAACGGCACACAGAUAAUCAAAGUCAGAGUCAGGGUGGAACUGAGGCCUCCUGACUCAACUACAGUCAUUCCAGCCCCCCUUAACAUCAGCUGAGACAUGUUCUUUUCAUUACAUGUGUGGAACCGUCUGAUUUAAAGUGGCUUGAGUUUAAAGGAGGCAUUGUUGGUUCAUGUAACGGAAACAGCCACAGCCAUAUCAGUGGGACGUGUUCUCCCCAUCUGUCACCAACACGCCUCUGCGGACCCCAUUCUCAGGUUGCUCUCUGGCGAGAUGUCUCUCGCAGCUGGAGCUUCAGCAUCCUCUUAAGUUCAAGGGCAGAGGAAAUGAGAGCUUCUCUUUCUCCAAACAAUUUCAGACUAAAAUCUUGGGCCUGACUUUCCUGGCCAGAAUUGGAUUUGUCUCUAUUCCUUGAAAAAUCACCAGUUCCACAGCAAGGGAAUGAACCAAUUCAGCAAGGCCUGUUCGAGGUCACAUACCCACACCCCGGCCAGUGGGACCCAGGUGUUUGGGAUAUUUUCAGCAGGGGAAGAAAAAGAUCAUGGAGAGUGCCAAAGCAAUAAUGUUCAUUCUAUGAAUGUAAAUAACACUUAUAAAAUGUGGAAGUGACUAACAAUAUUGAAGGAAGUGAAUAAAAAGAUAUCACCUGAUGAAGACAUAUCAAGAUUUUUGCCACAAGUACUCUUCAGCCGUAUCAACAGGAAGGUUUGGUGCAAUCUCAGAUCAGCCGUUGAGACCUGCCUCCCUCCCAGCACUGCCCCGGAUUGCAGGCAGCAAUGGGUAUGGGACCUACUACGCGCCCUGUGGCUGUGCUCUCAUCUCUGCAGGAUGUUAACUGAGAGCUUAAGCGUUGCUUGAAAUUUUUGUAAUAGGCAUGCAUCAUCAUUAUUCUAAAAAAAUAUUUCUAAAGGAACAAGGGAAGAGAAAGAAUCAAGGGAGGUCAGUGGCAGCCUUAAGCCAGACAGCCCAGGUCUGAAGUUGUCAUUUCAAGUUCAUCCUUCUGUUUGCUCAGGACAGCGCUCAUCCCAGAACUCAGAGCCACCAGCAACCUGCCUCCGAGGCCGCUACACCCUCAAAUCCGCAAAGCGCGGAGGUGGGUCCCCGAGGAAGGAGGCCAGGGUGGACUGCACCGUGGAAGACACCAGAGAUGACGAAGGUCGCUGCGGGAGUGGGUAGCCUUGCUCUUGGAGCAUCUGCUCAAACUGACCUCGGAGGAAAGUGGCAGGAAGAAUGGGGCAGACGUGCUACCUCCCCUCUCAGUUCCUUCAGCCCCUAUGUUAGCCUGCAUCCCACUACCUUGUAUAUGAUACAGCUUCCCCAUCUUUGUUUAGGAUCUUAUUUAAGAAAAGGCAGCUUUCUGGAUUCUGUUUUGAAGGGUCCUUCCCUCUCCAAAGUCAGUGAUAAUCCUACAGGUGGCCAAUCCUGCCUUUAGGAGGAAGGCGUGGGGGUCCGGUUCAUAGGCCUCUUGCCCGCACUCCUCGCACCAUUUCAGUGAGAGAAACAAGCAAUGCUGAUAGACGCCACUAGGAGGCAGCUUCUCCGCCACCUACUUGUAGGCGCUUCUGCCCAUCCCAUUCCCCGCACACCUCCUGGAUUUACAAUUUUUAUACUCUCCUGAGAUUUUACACUUGUAGUAACACUUCAUCAAUCUAGCAUACAUGGAAAUAUGAUGAUUCCAUAGUGAUGUCCUAUGUAACAGACACUUUCUGCUUUAAGCCCCUAAACUUACAAAAAUUGUUUUUUUUAAAAUACCAAAUAGUAUUGAAUUCCUUAUGGUAUAUGCAAAGAAAUUCCUAUUACCCUUCAUUCUGACCUUAACCUCUAAUAUUAACCAUUAAUGGUUAAUGCACCGUUAAUAUGACUGGCUGAACAAUUAACACAAAACCAGAAACAAACAAAAAAGAAAACAAAAAAAACCCCUACUCACCCCCAUUCCUGGGAAAAUAAAGUUCAGCUUCUCUCUCUGGUACCCAGAGAGACAUAGUUGGGGAAAGUCACUAAUAUCAGCUCUGUGCUAUUUAUCACGUGUAUCUGAUGAUAAAUCUUUCCUUUAUACAUAAUUUAUCAUUAUUCAUGCUUUAUUUGACAUUUUGCACGUAGAGAAGAUUAAUUCAUUCUUUUAGCAAACAUCUAUUGAGUGCUUACAAAUAGAAGGCACUGCAAUAGUGAAUACGAUCCUCAUAAACUUAUUAUGGUCUUAUAGGGGGAGAAACAUCAACAGGCCAUGAGCAUUCUUAACAAUUUGCCAGGCAAAUGAGAAAUGGUUGCAUUUUCUAAACUUCUGCUUCCAGAGUCUUAGACCCAGAAACUGUUCCUUGAAUACAUUAUGUUCAAUGCUAGUUGGAUGUGAUGUGAUUUUUUUUUAAAUGUGUUUUGAAUGCUUCUGUUUAGAAAUAUGCUGGGAGCAUGUGAAUAAUUGUUUUAUAUUAUUUAUAUUUUUCCUUGGCAAAAUACAUUUUUAAAAAUAGUGAGUGCUGUGUUUUACCAUAUGGCCUUUUAGAGCUUUUGUUACUAUUCGUGUUCACUGCUGUUCAGUUUAUUUUUAAAUGGAUUUUCCAUUGAAAGCUUAAGCUGAUGUCUAAGGAAAUUAAUGCAUGAAGUUAGGGUCAGAGAGCAUGAAUUAUUCAUUGAGUUCUCACACUGCUGUUUAUGGCUAAGUCAUUAUAAUAUAUCAUAGUUGCCAUGAAGAAUGUUAAAUUUUUUUAAUGAAAAAUUAUUACUCUUUUUAAAGAGCCUUUUAUAUUGUAUAUGAAUAAAUGUGUUUAUAUAAAUAAAUGAUCCAU